rnacentral:snRNA from 1 species
GUGCUCACUUCAGCAGCACGUAUACUAAAAUUGGAACUAUAGAGAGAAGAUUAGCAUGGCCCCUGUGC